UACGUAGGGGGCUAGCGUUGUCCGGAAUCAUUGGGCGUAAAGAGCGUGUAGGCGGUCCGGUACGUCCGCUGUGAAAGUCGGGGGCUCAACCCUCGAAUGCCGGUGGAUACUGUCGGGCUAGAGUACGGAAGAGGCGAGUGGAAUUCCUGGUGUAGCGGUGAAAUGCGCAGAUAUCAGGAGGAACACCUAUUGCGAAGGCAGCUCGCUGGGACGUAACUGACGCUGAGACGCGAAAGCGUGGGGAGCGAACAGG
rnacentral:rRNA from 1 species